rnacentral:tRNA from 1 species
GGGGAGUGUACGGGGUGUACUGCAUUGGGGUUUGGACCCGAUGCUGACGGUUCAAGUCCGUCACUCUCCA